ACACGAGAAGGGAGGUGGUUCGGCAGAUGAUUUCGCACCGGACGCGUGAGGUGGCUGCGGGCUAGCGGCCCGUCGCUUCACCCGAAGUGCAGCGCCGGACCAGCGCAUACUGCAGAUGCGCAGCCGGCCAAUCCCAAGCAGUCACCCGACCCGCGGGCUGCCGGUUCGUCCGACCGGCCCUCUGCGCCACCGAGCGCGGAGGAAGCAGCCCGCGGGUCGUCUGCG
rfam:Streptomyces sp. 2114.4 genome assembly, contig: Ga0151178_11